CGGGUCCAUCUUCGUCUUCAACAACCAACAGUCAGAGAGACGACUCAUUUCCUCAUGAUAUCUUCUCCAUCAUCAUCACCAUCCAUAACCAUUCACAAAUUCUUGGAGCCAACAGUCAGAGAGACGACUCAUUUCCUCAUGAUAUCUUCUCCAUCAUCAUCACCAUCCAUAACCAUUCACAAAUUCUUGGAGGCUCAAAUCCCACGUCCCUCUCGCGCACUUGUGCCGAGGAAGAACAAGAAGCAGCAGUAGCAGCAUCUCCGGAAGAAACUUCAGCUUCGAGCUUCGACAUGAGUGCCAUCGAAGAUGCUAAGGACGAGAGGAACCUGACAAAGCCGUUGCUCCAUAUUAGGGCUCUAGUAUGUGAUGCAUUAAAUGUAUCUAGGUAUUAAUAAAACAGAGUUUCUAGUAGGGCAAUUCCAAAAACUCCCUUUUUAACUGUGGAUGGGUUACAAAACUUACAUAUUUGAAGUUGUCCAGCAAAAGAUUUUACAAUGCAUAUGAAAAGAAAAUAGAUUUUAGAACGAUCAAUAAUUAUUUCAUUGGUUAUGUAAAUAAAUCCAAAUGAUAUGGACUUUAUUGUCCUAAUUACAGUAUGAUAAUUGUU
rnacentral:lncRNA from 1 species